rnacentral:rRNA from 1 species
GACGAACGCUGGCGGCGUGCUUAACACAUGCAAGUCGAACGGAAAGGCCCUGCUUUUGUGGGGUGCUCGAUUGGCGAACGGGUGAGUAACACGUGAGUAACCUGCCCUUGACUUUGGGAUAACUUCAGGAAACUGGGGCUAAUACCGGAUAGGAGCUCCUGCUGCGUGGGGGGGGUUGGAAAGUUUCGGCGGUUGGGGAUGGACUCGCGGCUUAUCAGCUUGUUGGUGGGGUAGUGGCUUACCAAGGCUUUGACGGGUAGCCGGCAUGAGAGGGUGACCGGCCACAUUGGGACUGCGAUACGGCCCAGACUCCUACGGGAGGCAGAAGUGGGGAAUAUUGCACAAUGGGCGGAAGCCUGAUGCAGCAACGCCGCGUGCGGGAUGACGGCCUUCGGGUUGUAAACCGCUUUCGCCUGUGACGAAGCGUGAGUGACGGUAAUGGGUAAAGAAGCACCGGCUAACUACGUG